rnacentral:rRNA from 1 species
CAGUCGACGGUACAGGAAGCAGCUUGCUGCUUUGCUGACGAGUGGCGGACGGGUGAGUAAUGUCUGGGAAACUGCCCGAUGGAGGGGGAUAACUACUGGAAACGGUAGCUAAUACCGCAUAACGUCGCAAGACCAAAGAGGGGGACCUUAGGGCCUCUUGCCAUCGGAUGUGCCCAGAUGGGAUUAGCUAGUAGGUGGGGUAACGGCUCACCUAGGCGACGAUCCCUAGCUGGUCUGAGAGGAUGACCAGCCACACUGGAACUGAGACACGGUCCAGACUCCUACGGGAGGCAGCAGUGGGGAAUAUUGCACAAUGGGCGCAAGCCUGAUGCAGCCAUGCCGCGUGUAUGAAGAAGGCCUUCGGGUUGUAAAGUACUUUCAGCGGGGAGGAAGGGAGUAAAGUUAAUACCUUUGCUCAUUGACGUUACCCGCAGAAGAAGCACCGGCUAACUCCGUGCCAGCAGCCGCGGUAAUACGGAGGGUGCAAGCGUUAAUCGGAAUUACUGGGCGUAAAGCGCACGCAGGCGGUUUGUUAAGUCAGAUGUGAAAUCCCCGGGCUCAACCUGGAACUGCAUCUGAUACUGGCAAGCUUGAGUCUCGUAGAGGGGGGUAGAAUUCCAGGUGUAGCGGUGAAAUGCGUAGAGAUCUGGAGGAAUACCGGUGGCGAAGGCGGCCCCCUGGACGAAGACUGACGCUC